rnacentral:lncRNA from 1 species
UUCCGCCCCGCGCAGGAGAGGCAGGAGCAUCCCCGCGCUGCCGGGGCCAUGAGCCCGCGAGAGGCAAAGGGGCAGCAGCACCGGGCAGCCCCCGGCCAGCCCAGCUGAAGGAGGAGGAAGAGGAGGAAGAGGAUGGAGGCAAGAGGAGCGGGCGCCCCACGCGCUGGGGGAGGAUGAGGAUGAUGCGAAAGCCGGAUCCUCAUAGCGUGGGAAAGACGCAAGCUGCCGGCAUCCGACCCGGGGAUUUAU